GGAGCGGGGCGCAGGCGUCGCAGUGCCCGGAACGAAAGGAAUGUUUAUUUCAAAGUUACAACACUGAGGCUGGAAUCUCAAAAUGACACAUGGGUCUGGUUUGGAAAAGGGCAUCAGAUGAAAUGCCUUUGCUGAUUCCGCAGGUCCUUUUUCAUACUUUUUCUCUGAAUGAAAUACAAACUCAGCAGAACCUCAGUGUUUAAUGCUGUAUCUUUCAAAGCCCUUUCCAAUAAACAGGAAUAAGAGUGAUGGACAGGAAAAUAGAGGAACAGUGAGUUCAAGGAGUCUAUUUAAAUACAAUUAUUUAGAAAGACACUUGAAGUCCUCGUCGGAUGUAUGUCUCUUGCAGAUGGUUCUUUUAUUUAGAGAAAUCUGAUUUUAGGGAACAGGUCAAGACCUAGUACAGUAGUACUCCCUCAUGAUGUUACAGUUUAACCAUAAUUUUGCACAGAAACAAGAAGAAAUAGUGAACAAUCCACCAUGGUUAUGUACAUGUACAUAAACAUUUGUCAUAGCUUAUAAGCAGCAAUGCAAAAUAUUUUUAAUUAUAUAAUUCCACGGGACAGAGACUUGAAUGUUUUUCUGAGAUGUGAAGAAAGUUCUAGUUAUUGUUUUUGAUGGUUAUCAUAUCUCCCAAGGAAAAAAGAGAUAAAUCACAAUUGGUUAGCCUCAGGCACCAGUGGGAGACAGAGAAUGUUGAUUGUGGGGUGGUCUUCUGGGUUUUUUUGAGGGGGCUUAAUAAUUAAAGCACACCAAAAAAAGAGUAAUGUUUUAUAAUCACAGACUCAUUUAGGUUACAUAAAAUCUUUAGAAUGAUCAAGUCUAACUACAAACCUAACACUGCCAAAUCCACCUCUAAAUUUUAUCUUUUGCUGGACUUCAACUCAAAUUAAUCCUGCACAGCGGUACUGUCACCCAGAAAAGAGAAGGAUUGUGGCCAAAAUUCCGUGGAGUCAGUGAUAGAACAGCAGAGGCUUUUAUGGAAAGACUAAGUCAAACUCAUUCUUCUACUGAGGUGUUUUAAUGCCCCUGUAGAUAAAAAUCUCACCCGAAGUUGUUUAUAACAAGAGGACUGUGUUUAUUUCCUGAGAAGGGAAUGAGAUCAAAUCUACAUGGUACAGGGAAUGCCUCUGAAGACUUCAAAUCCUUAAGAUUAUUUUUCUUGGAUGUUUUCACUACAUCUUUUUAAAAAGAAUGCCUUGUACAUGAAAAGCAUCAAGUGACCUUGUUGGUAUAGAUUGUCGUUCCCAUUGUUGUGCUUAAGGAAGUGAAGGAUCUUGCAAAUCAGAAAGGUGUGAAGAACAAAGCAAAAAUGUUAAAGACAAUCUGCCGUGAUUUUCCUACUUGUAAAUAAGGUGGGACAUGUCAAAACAAUACAAACUAACGAUGCUUUUGAUUUUAAAUGAAACUAGCAAGGAUUCAUCUCCUAGGUGACCAUCCAUGUGCCUGUUAAUAGUAAAAGUAUCCUUGUCGAGUAUUAUUUGUAUUGUUAACAUCCUAUUUUUCUUAACUACAAAUUGAUAGCAGCAGGCUUGUUUCUUACACAUCCCUUAAAUCUCCUGAUGCACAAAUUUGAUGUGGCACAAGCAGUGUGUUACCUCACCUUUUCAGAAAUCACCUUCAGAACUCUGCCAAGUAUUCACUAGGGAGCUCUGCUCUACGCCUCACUUUUCUCUCUGUAAAACACAGAAAAAAUGAAUUAUGGUUUAAAGGGUGUAUGUGAACCUGGUAAUAAAAAAAUCUUUCAACACUGGCA